GUGCUUGCUCCAGCAGCAUAUAUACUAAAAUUGGAAUGAUACAGAAAAGAUUAGCAUGGUCCCUGCACAAGAUGAUAUGCAGAUUUAUGAAGUGUUCCUUCUGUAU
rnacentral:snRNA from 1 species